ACAGUGGGGUGGGGGGCCAGGAUGGUAGGGGAGCCCACCUGAGGGAGGUGGGGCUGAAUCAGGGAAGCACCCUGUGGGCUCUCUGAGCUCCCUCUCUGCACAGGGACCAAGCUGUGGGUCAGAGUCCUACAUAUUCAAUAUCUAUUCACCAACAAUCAGUGGGUACAGGAUUGGCUUGUGGUAUCUCAGGGAAGGAGAUACUGGUUUCACCCUGGGAACCAUCCAAGCACCCAGGUCCCUGGUACCAGCUCUCAGCUCUUUGAUAGCAGUCUUGGGGCCUCCCUGGGUCCUGUCUCUGAGGAGCAGAAGAGGAGUUGAGCUCCCCCCACUUGCUUCCACCUCUCAGCCACCCUGGACUUCAGACUUGCAGGCCCCAGAGCACAGUUUAUCUCCCCAUCUGCAAGAGCGAUUUUCCAUUUGCUCCACAAUGGGAAAUAAGAAUCCAUCAUGUGCCAUUGUGUCAGGAAGGUGGUGUCUACUUUAAUAAAUUUGCUUUUAAAUGCUGGCUGUCUCUGGAGAUCGUUUCGCUCAUGCCUGCAGACAAAGUGAUUAAAGUUGCAGAGUAUACAUGGUUCCUGCAAAGACCCAGAA
rnacentral:lncRNA from 1 species